rnacentral:sRNA from 1 species
UGAGUCACUCCUAUUGCACGUGCUAAAU